rnacentral:rRNA from 1 species
UACCAGCACCCCGAGCGGUCGGGACGUUUAUUGGGCCUAAAGCAUCCGUAGCCGGUUCUACAAGUCUUCCGUUAAAUCCACCUGCUUAACAGAUGGGCUGCGGAAGAUACUAUAGAGCUAGGAGGCGGGAGAGGCAAGCGGUACUCGAUGGGUAGGGGUAAAAUCCGUUGAUCCAUUGAAGGCCACCAGUGGCGAAGGCGGCUUGCCAGAACGCGCCCGACGGUGAGGGAGGAAAGCUGGGGGAGCAAACCGG